rnacentral:pre_miRNA from 1 species
UAUAAGGGAUUUUGAGUUUUUGCUUGCAACGUUUGACUACUCGUCUUAUUCAAAAAAUUUUGAAAUUAUUAUUUAUUUUAUUUGUGACUUACUUUAUUAUCUAUAGUACUUUAAGCACAACUUUUCAUUUUUUAUAUUUGCAAAAAAAAAAUUGAAUAAGACGAGUGGUCAAACAUUGCAAGCAAAAACUAAAAAUCCCUUAUA